GAUAUUAACCUUCCUGGCACAAAAGCCGAAUGGGUUUCCGAGAUGAGGGAAGGUAAACAUAUCUUCAAUCUCUGACACAGAACCUUCAAAAUAAUUUUGUACCCAACAUUACACAGACUAAUCGGCCUAAAUUCGGUCAUUUUUGUAGGCCUCUCCGUUUUUGGAAUCCUACAAAUAUUAGUAAUAUUUAACCUCAGAUCCAAAUUUCCAGUGACCAAAAAAUUAUUCACCAUAUCCACCAAAUCCUUCUUAAUAAUAUGCCAGGAGUGUUGAAAGAAAAGAGCUGUCAUACCAUCCGGUCCUGGUGCCUUUUCUGGAUG
rnacentral:lncRNA from 1 species